AUACGUAGGGAGCGAGCGUUGUCCGGAAUUACUGGGUGUAAAGGGCGUGUAGGCGGUCUUGCAAGUCAGAAGUGAAAUUCCUGAGCUCAACUCGGGCGCUGCUUCUGAAACUGCAGGACUUGAGUGCUGGAGGGGAUAGCGGAAUUCCUAGUGGAGCGGUAAAAUGCGCAGAUAUUAGGAAGAACACCGGUGGCGGAGGCGGCUAUCUGGACAGUAACUGACGCUGAGGCGCGAAAGCGUGGGGAGCAAACAGGAUUAGAUCCCCUGGUAGUCCACGCCGUAAACGAUGAAUACUAGGUGUAGGGGGUAUCGACUCCCUCUGUGCCGCAGUUAACACAAUAAGUAUUCCGCCUGGGGAGUACGGCCGCAAGGUUGAAACUCAAAUGAAUUGACGGGG
rnacentral:rRNA from 1 species